GGUGACGUACCGAAAUCUGGUUAUAACGGCGCAGACUUGAAAUCUGAUGUGUCAUGGAAAACAUGACCUGUGGGUUCAAAUCCUACCGUCACCG
rnacentral:tRNA from 1 species